rnacentral:misc_RNA from 1 species
GAUGAAGAACGCAGCGAAACGCGAUAUGUAAUGUGAAUUGCAGAACUCAGUGAAUCAUCGAAUCUUUGAACGCACAUGGCGCCUUCCAGUAUCCUGGGAGGCAUGCCUGUCCGAGCGUCGUUUCAACCCUCGAGCCCCCGUGGCCCGGCGUUGGGGAUCUGCCCAGGCAGUCCCCGAAAACCAGUGGCGGACCCGUUACAGGCCCUUCCCUUGCGUAGUAGCAUUCGCCUCGCAUCGGGAGCCGGCGGGCUUCCAGCCUCUAAACCCCCAUCAAGUCCGCCCCGGCGGCACCAAGGUUGACCUCGGAUCAGGUAGGAAUACCCGCUGAACUUAAGCAUAUCAAUAAGCGGAGGA